AACGAACGCUGGCGGCAUGCCUAACACAUGCAAGUCGAACGAGAUCUUCGGGUCUAGUGGCGCACGGGUGCGUAACGCGUGGGAAUCUGCCCUUUGGUUCGGAAUAACAGUUGGAAACGACUGCUAAUACCGGAUGAUGACGAAAGUCCAAAGAUUUAUCGCCAGAGGAUGAGCCCGCGUAGGAUUAGCUAGUUGGUGUGGUAAAGGCGCACCAAGGCGACGAUCCUUAGCUGGUCUGAGAGGAUGAUCAGCCACACUGGGACUGAGACACGGCCCAGACUCCUACGGGCGGCAGCAGUGGGGAAUAUUGGACAAUGGGCGAAAGCCUGAUCCAGCAAUGCCGCGUGAGUGAUGAAGGCCUUAGGGUUGUAAAGCUCUUUUACCCGGGAUGAUAAUGACAGUACCGGGAGAAUAAGCUCCGGCUAACUCCGUGCCAGCCGCCGCAGUAAAAC
rnacentral:rRNA from 1 species